rnacentral:tRNA from 1 species
GCAUGGCUCAGUUGGAUAGCAUCUACUUGGUAUGCAGAAGGUCCUGGAUUCAGUCCCCAGCAUCUCCA